CCCGGGUAAUUGUGGCGCGCGAGGUGCGGGGAUGUCGGGGAGCGUUCAGAGGUUUUUCUCCUCCCGAAGUUCCGAGACGCGGCCUCGGGAGCCCUGUCUCCGAGGCGCCGUGGCCCGGGAGAAGUUUGGGCCGAAACUGACGUGCGUCUCCCGAGUUGAUCUCAGCAGCGCCCUCCUCCCCGGCCAGGGCCAGAGCACUUUGGGCUGAAGAGCCGCCUGGGUUCCUCCUGGAAGGCCGCAGGGCUCAGGAGGCGGCGGUGGGUGACUUCCCCCUUGUGCAGGGAGAACCCACAGCCGGGUCUGUUCAAGGGAGGGAAGGAAGGUGGCCGGGGACCAGCCGCUUCUCCCACCCUCCCCUCUGCCCUUUUGUUGACAGCCAGCCUCUUUGUCGCCCCCUUGGUCCUAUGCCGCCCGUCCCUGCCUCCCUCCACACCUUCUAGGCCUUUUAUUAGAGUGGCCUUGGCUUGUGGGGUCCUGGCCCCCUCAUCUCCUGACUUCUGCUCUUCCCUACUUCUGCACCCCCGAGACGGCCCGGAGCCCCCCAGGCCUCCCCUUUCAGACAACUGCAGAAUCAUCCAGCCUGGCCUCAGGUCCCGUCAAGCCUGUUCCCACCUUUGGGUCAAAGAUCAAGGGGCUGGGCCACCCCAGGAGGGCCGCACAUUUGUUCAUAGCCACCUAUCCACCUGGGGACUUGACCCCCCAGGGGCCUCCGAGGCGCCUGCUGCAUCGGGUUCUCAGAGGUGAGCUCUGGCGGGGGGGGCAGGUCCAGGCAGGUGCAGGCCUCGAGAGGCCAAGCAGGGAGGUCAGCUGUUCCCCUCUCCCCUCCAGGCCGUCCUCCUGCAGGCCCCGGGGGAUCCUGAUGGAGUAGGGUGUGUGCUGCCCACGGCCCUGACCCUGACGGGAGGUCUAAGAAUAACCCUGAGCGUCCCGGCCACCCUCGGGCCCCUGGCAGAUGCGCCUGCUUUUCCAGAAGGAAGGGAGAAUUGGGGAUCCGUUCCUGCUGCUAUGUGAGGACGAAGGCAGGAAGCCAGGGGCAGCUCAGUCCCUAAUGUGUACUCACCACUCCCUCUCCCGCAGCCUAUGGAAAUCCCUGGAAUCCUGCUGCCUGGGGACAGCUCCAGGGAAUCUUCUGCUUCAUGAACUCAUGAAAAGAGGCAGAUAGGAUUUCAGACACAGCUGUGUUGGUGGUCCCUCCUGGACAUCCCCUUUCCUCCUGAGCACCAAUCAGGGACAGUCAGGUGGCUGCUCAGUUAGCACCAGCUGGGCGCCUUCUGCUCUCAGUCAUCCACUUGGCCAACCUGCUUGAGGCCAAGUACUGUCCAGAUGUGGGGGUGAUGGCGAUAACCAAGGCCAUCAGGGCCUCAGGCGUCAGGUGUCUUAGCCUCUCUGAGCCUCGCUUCCGUCAUCUGUGAGUAUGAAGUGAGAUAGCCCAUGUAACACGCUGAGUGCAUUGAGGGUCCCCUGGCACAGAGAUUGAACUUGAGGUUCAGCAACAUGUGCUGAACUGAAAUGAGCUGUGUGUAGGAUCUAGAAGGCAAAGGGGGUCUCAGAA